CACGUAGGGCGCAAGCGUUGUCCGGAAUUAUUGGGCGUAAAGCGCGCGCAGGUGGUCUUUCAAGUCAGUGGUGAAAGCCCGGAGCUCAACUCCGGAAAUGCCAUUGAAACUGUGAGACUUGAGGACGAGAGAGGUGAGUGGAAUUCCCAGUGUAGAGGUGAAAUUCGUAGAUAUUGGGAAGAACACCGGUGGCGAAGGCGGCUCACUGGCUCGUAUCUGACGCUCAGGCGCGACAGCGUGGGGAUCAAACAGG
rnacentral:rRNA from 1 species